GAGGUGUAUGAAAGAGAGAAGGUUAGCACUCCCAUAGACAAGGAUGGAAGAGGUCCCAGUGGCCUUUUACAACACAUAUAUACGGUUAAGGCAGUACCACCUACUUAGUGGCAUCACUAACCAAGUUUUUAA